UCGUCAGCUCGUGUCGUGAGAUGUUGGGUUAAGUCCCGCAACGAGCGCAACCCUUGCCUUUAGUUGCCAGCAUUAAGUUGGGCACUCUAGAGGGACUACAAGGGAUAACCUGGAGGAAGGUGGGGAUGACGUCAAAUCAUCAUGCCCCUUAUGCUUAGGGCUACACACGUGCUACAAUGGGUGGUACAGAGGGCAGCCAAGUCGUGAGGCGGAGCUAAUCCCUUAAAGCCAUUCUCAGUUCGGAUUGUAGGCUGAAACUCGCCUACAUGAAGCUGGAGUUACUAGUAAUCGCAGAUCAGAAUGCUGCGGUGAAUGCGUUCCCGGGUCUUGUACACACCGCCCGUCACACCACGGGAGUUGGGGGCGCCCGAAGCCGGAUUGCUAACCUUUUGGAAGCGUCCGUCGAACUCUCUGUUGAUACGAAUAACUGGGGUGAAGUCGUAACAAGGUAGCCGUA
rnacentral:rRNA from 1 species